UAGGUCUCCUCAUUCAUGCUGCAGAGGUAUGUAGCCUGAAACUUUGCUUCAGGAAGAAGCUACUUAAUGAGUUCAUGGUAACUGAGUGCGCUGGUUUAGCUUCUUUGUCAGGGUUUUCUGCUGAAGCUUCCUGGUUGUACCCCAUUUCAUACCACGGUGGUGAUUGACAGUUGGAGGUGGUAACACGUUAAGAAGCUUAGUAAUGCAGCUGCAAAAGCAAAGAGGAGGACUGCUGCUUCCUGACACCCGAGUUGGCAAGACUGUGAGGGACACGAUUUGCGACAACCACUUUAACUAAGUUCAACAUCACUCCAGCAAGCAAUUUUUUUUUUUUUUUCAUUUGUUUUUUCCGU